GGGUUGAUGGCGAAGCUGGUUAUCGCAUCUGUCUUACACACAGAAGAUCCUCAGUUCGAACCUGGGUCAACUCA
rnacentral:tRNA from 1 species